AUUGAACGCUGGCGGCAGGCCUAACACAUGCAAGUCGAACGAGUGGCGGACGGGUGAGUAAUGUCUGGGAAACUGCCUGAUGGAGGGGGAUAACUACUGGAAACGGUAGCUAAUACCGCAUACCAUCGGAUGUGCCCAGAUGGGAUUAGCUAGUAGGUGGGGUAAAGGCUCACCUAGGCGACGAUCCCUAGCUGGUCUGAGAGGAUGACCCGCCCCACGGGAACUGGGACCAGGUCCAGACUCCUACGGGAGGCAGCAGUGGGGAAUAUUGCAAAAUGGGCGCAAGCCUUAUGCAGCCAUCCCGCGUGGAUGAAGAAGGCCUUCGGGUUGUAAAGUACUUUCAGCGGGGAGGCGUUACCCGCAGAAGAAGCACCGGCUAACUCCGUGCCAGCAGCCGCGGUAAUUC
rnacentral:rRNA from 1 species